AGACUGUAUCCCAUUCUCAAUUUUUCAAGCGUCCCUCAAGUACACGAAAUGUUACAUUUUGAAUAAGCAUUUAUCGAUCUGAUGCGAAUCGCGGUAAACCAGUCAUAGUGCAAGCGUCUAUUAAGCGCAUUUCAAUAAGCGUCUAGGUAGCCUGUUGUAACAGAUACGGAUACCGUAUUUUUUCGGAUAAUUAUUUUUCGGGAAAAAAUCACUCGACAGGGCGGGCUAGUGACUUGAUUUUUUCAGUCGACCGAGCGGAAAACAGCUCGACUCGGUCGAUGGUCGAGUGGGUUACGUCGAAGACUGGGCCACAAGCGCCAAUAACUUGUGUCCGGGCUGUAACUUUCCCUUGUAUGGACGGAUUUUAAAAUAACUUACCACAUGUGUUCCACAUACCAAGACGACGUGUCGCGUGCAAGACCCGUGUCCCUACCUCUAAGGUCAAGGUCACACUUAGUGUUUAUUCACAAUGGAGUGCUGCAUAUAAGGACAUAGAGUAUAGGUUGUCGUGUCCAGGCUGUAACUUUCCCUUGUAUGGACAGAUUUUAAAAUAACUUACCACAUGUGUUCCACAUACCAAGAUGACGUGUCGCCUGCAAGACCCGUGUCCCUACCUCUAAGGUCAAGGUCACACUUAGUGUUUAUUCACAAUGGAGUGCUGCAUAUAAGGACAUAGAGUAUAGGUUGUCGUGUCCAGGCUGUAACUUUCCCUUGUAUGGACAGAUUUUAAAAUAACUUGCCACAUGUGUUCCACAUACCAAGACAAUGUGUCGCGUGCAAGACCCGUGUCCCUACCUCUAAGGUCAAGGUCACACUUAGUGUUUAUUCACAAUGGAGUGCUGCUUAUAAGGACAUAUCAGUGAAGGUUGUCAAGUAUGAAUGACGUAGAACCUGGCUCGCCUUGAUCGAUUAGUGCAAGCAGCCAAAGGAUGGGGACAAUCGGAAAAGGGCCAAAUUCAUUGAAUCUUUACAGGAAGCCUCAUUGCAUGACCCUCUACAAAAAUACAACAAGGCAUUGAGAUUGAUCAACAACAACAAAAUGGCUGACUUCUUGUUUUUCUAAAAAAAGACACUCUUAAACUACCAGGCCAAAUUCAAUGAAACUUUACAGCCUCUUUUACCAGAAGAGCUAGCUGUAGAUGCAGAGAAGGUUCUACAUAGUCUAGUGUGCGUAUGUACGGACAGACGCAUCAAGAAAAGGUUCAUAGAGGCAUGCAUCGAAAACCUUGCAAACCAC